rnacentral:rRNA from 1 species
UACGUAGGGUGCGAGCGUUAAUCGGAAUUACUGGGCGUAAAGCGUACGCAGGCGGUUUUGUAAGCCAGAUGUGAAAUCCCCGGGCUUAACCUGGGAAUGGCAUUUGGGACUGCAAGGCUUGAGUGCGGCAGAGGAGACUGGAAUUCCUGGUGUAGCAGUGAAAUGCGUAGAUAUCAGGAGGAACACCGAUGGCGAAGGCAGGUCUCUGGGCUGACACUGACGCUCAUGCACGAAAGCGUGGGGAGCAAACAGG